UACAGAGGGGGCAAGCGUUGUUCGGAAUUACUGGGCGUAAAGGGCGCGUAGGCGGCCUUCUAAGUCGAACGUGAAAUCCCCGGGCUCAACCCGGGAACUGCGUCCGAUACUGGAAGGCUUGAAUCCGGGAGAGGGAUGCGGAAUUCCAGGUGUAACGGUGAAAUGACGUAGAUAGUCUGGAGGAACACCAGUGGCGAAAGGCGGCUCACCUGGCCCGAUACUGACGCUGAGGUGCGAAAGCGUGGGGAGCAAACAGG
rnacentral:rRNA from 1 species